GUAGGGAAUCUUCCGCAAUGGACGCAAGUCUGACGGAGCAACGCCGCGUGUGUGAAGAAGGUCUUCGGAUCGUAAAGCACUGUUAUUAGAGAAGAACAACCGGUAGAGUAACUGUUACCGGCUUGACGGUAUCUAACCAGAAAGCCACGGCUAACUACGUGCCAGCAGCCGCGGUAAUACGUAGGUGGCAAGCGUUGUCCGGAUUUAUUGGGCGUAAAGGGAGCGCAGGCGGUGACUUAAGUCUGAUGUGAAAGCCCACGGCUCAACCGUGGAAGGUCAUUGGAAACUGGGUCACUUGAGUGCAGAAGAGGAAAGUGGAAUUCCAUGUGUAGCGGUGAAAUGCGUAGAUAUAUGGAGGAACACCAGUGGCGAAGGCGACUUUCUGGUCUGUAACUGACGCUGAGGCUCGAAAGCGUGGGGAGCAAACAGGAUUAGAAACCCUAGUAGUCC
rnacentral:rRNA from 1 species